AGUCACUGACAUUAGAUACCCGGGUAGUCCCAGCCGUAAACUAUGCUCGCUAGGUGUCAGGCAUGGCGCGACCGUGUCUGGUGCCGCAGGGAAGCCGUGAAGCGAGCCACCUGGGAAGUACGGCCGCAAGGCUGAAACUUAAAGGAAUUGGCGGGGGAGCACAACAACGGGUGGAGCCUGCGGUUUAAUUGGACUCAACGCCGGACAACUCACCGGGGACGACAGCAAUAUGUAGGCCAGGCUGAAGACCUUGCCUGAAUCGCUG
rnacentral:rRNA from 1 species